rnacentral:tRNA from 1 species
GUGGCUCAGUGGUAGAGUGCUUGCCUGGUAUGUAUGAGGCCCUGGGUUUGAUCCUCAGC